rnacentral:lncRNA from 1 species
UUUUUUUUUUUUUUUUUUUUUUUUUUGCUUUUUAGGGCUGCUCUCAAGGCAUAUGGAGUCUCUCAGGCUAGGGGUCAUUUUAGAGCUACAGCUGCCAGCCUACACCACAGCCACAGCAACGCCAGAUCUGAGCUGAGUCUUUGACCUACACCACAGCUCAGGGCAACGCCGGAUCCUUAACCCACUGAGCGAGGCCAGGGAUGGAACCCAAAAUCUCAUGGUUCCUAGUCGGAUUCGUUUCCACUGUGCCACUAUGGGAACUCCAUGCCUAUGCUUCUCUUUAUUGAUACUUCUGUGUCACAGUAUUAUGUUUAUAGGUAUUCAAGUCGUACACAUGAUAAGAAUGUAUUUGACUACAAGUAACAGAAUGAUCCACUCAUGGUGGCUUAGAACAACGAUGUGUGUAUUUUCAGGGGAGCCCAGAGCUGGGGCAGAGCCGGGUCUGUCUGGAGACCAUCUGUGGUACCACAAACACAAGUCCCCUCCUUUCUUCCCCCUGACCUUUCAGUAUAUUGCUUUCUUCCUCAUUCACACAAUUUAUUCAUUCUUACUUUCUGAAUGGCUGUCUUUUGGGUUUUCUUUAAACACGAUUUUAACGGAAAAUAGACUGGCACUGACUGCACAUUGAACUUGCACUAAUUUGACUAUACUCCCUCUGCCAAGAAGGGAAGAGAAAAAGAAAUGACAAUGUCUAGAAUGAGGGUGAUUCUGUCUCCUCCUCUGUCCUGGGGUGAGGGUGGGAUGGGAACUGUGACUGUCCUUUCCCCCAGAUGGUCUGAUCUCCAGAAAGACUUUCCUAAAUUAGCAUCCCACCCCCCUGAGCACUGCAUCCUGUAUUUGGGGGGUGAUUGAAAGCAUCUUUCAAAUCCUAUACAGCAGGGAUUGGUAAAAUAUUUCCAAGAGCCAGAUCGUAUAUUUAGCUCUGCAGGAAACACGGUCUCCGUCACAACUAUUCCACAUUGCCUUUGUUGCAAGAAAGGAGACAAGAACGGAGAUAUAAACGGAUGGGCAUGACUGUGUUCUAAUAAACCUUUAUUUACAUAAUAUAAGCCGAGGGCCGGGUUUGGCCCAGGCCUGUGGUUGGCUAACACCUGCUCCAUACAAUUUGACUUGAGCCUUAACAAGGAGGCUAGUUAACCCCCCCAACUCCCAUUUCAGCAGAAGGGAUGUGACAGUCCUUCUUGGUCCAUCCACCUGGAGGGCCAGGAGGUCAUGUCCAUCUUUGUUUUUGCCCCUCACGGACUCCUGCCCUUGGAGAAGGAGUGAGUUCUCUGAUGGGGGAGUUUUGGGUGUGGGAACAGAGCUGGUGGGAGCCCAGUCUUGCCCCACUGCCCUUCAGAGAGCCCUCUACCCUCUUCUCCUCCGAGCUCUCAUUGUCUGAAUCUGGCCACAGGCCCUGUCCUCUAAGUUCACUUUUCCAGUAAUAGAACUGAUGGAUUUUUCUCCAUCUCUCUGGCUCUCAUAUCUACCUUUCAAUGGAUUCUGAACUGGGGAGGUGGGAGAGGACUGCACGUUCCCCACAGGUCCUCCCAGCUCUGUGCCCAGGGAGGCGGCUGUGCCUUUUGCAUCCAGCCCACCUUGGCCAAUGGAUGUGGGAGUGGGGGAUGGAAGCAGGGCCAGCCCGGUCCCUCAAAGCUCUGUCCCUGUGCCGUUUCCUGGCCAAGCUACAUCUGUCUACCAUACCCCCUAUCUAAUAGCCUGAUGCAUGUGGCCAGGAGAAGGAAGAUAUAAUCAACUGUCUCCAGACUCCUGCCCCAGUCCUGCCUUCAGAUCUCAGGGUGCGUUGAAUACUGCCCCUCCCCCCCGAGUAUGUCCACCUAGAAUCUCAGAAUGUGACUCUAUUUGGAAAUAAGGUCUUUGCAGAUGUAAUUUAGGUAAGGAUGGAAAUGAAACCAUACUGGAUAAGGAUGGCUCUAAAUCCAGUGACAGUGUCCUUAUAAGAGACAGACAGAGACACACAGGGAAAAUGCCACAUGAAGACAGAGGCAGAGACUGGGGUGAUGCAUCUAAAGCCAUGAAAUGCUGGAACCACUAGAGGCUGGAAGAGGCAGGAGGGAUCCUUCCUGAGAGCUCAUGGAGGGAGCGUGGCCCUGCGGACACCUUGAUUUUGGACUUCCAGACAGGAGGACUGGGAGACAACAUGUUUCUGUGUUUCAAGCCACCUGGGUUGUAAUCAUUUGUUUUGCAGCCUUGGGACCUGAGACAGAUGUAACUGACAACACCACUGAAACCAUGUACAAGCCCCUGCCUGAGUCCUUGCAUUUUGAAGGAAAAGGCUUUUCCUUUAGCCUCCCAGGUCUCCCCUUGGUCUCAAAAGCCCGACUCAAGAGUGAAUGAUGAGGAAAUAUUGAUACAGCUGAAAACUAGUUAAAACCGUCUCCAUGGUGUUACGUCCUGCCUUGGCCCCCAAACUGAUCCUAACCAGCUUUUCACAAAUGGUUUCUCCCUUGUUUCAUUGCUUUCUUAUAUUAGUGUUUACUUUUUAGAGUUAUAUCAUGCCUAGCAUUUUCUUUCUUCCUUCCUCUGUCUGUCUGUCUGUCUGUCUGUCUUUCUUUGUCACACCUACAGCACAUGGAAGGUCCCAGGCUAAGGGUCGAAUCAGAGCUGCAGCUGCUGGCCUACACCACAGCCACAGCAACACUGGUUCCAAGCCACAUCUGCAACCUGCACUGAAGCUCACGGCAAUACCAGAUCCUUAACCCCAUGAGCAAGGCCAGGGAUCCAACCCAAAUCCUCAUGGAUACUAGUUGGGUUCAUUACCACUGAGCCACAGUGGGAACUCCCCUAGCAUUUCCUUUUGUAAUUGAAACACUCCCUAACACCCCUUCCCUGUAAGCCAUUUUCGUUCCAGAGAGAAGGUCAAAGAACGAUUACCCUGAAGACCACCAGAGACCACCACCAGACCAACUGAUGCCAGACUUCACUCUGAAAUAGCUUAUGGAGGGAGAAUCAUAUAGACACCUUAAUCAAUAACCCUGUCUUCCCAGCUAAACCUAUAAAACCCUUUGCCAUCCCCUCUCAAGAAGGGACACAGUUUUGAGACAUUAGCCUGCUGUGGCCUCCUUUUCCUGGCAAAGCAAUAAAGCUGUUCUUUCUGCUUCACCCCAAACUCUUGUCUCUGAGACUUAGUUGGUGCCAGUGUACAGAGGCCACAUUUCGACUACAUCGUCUCUAUGUAUAUGUCUGUUUUCUUCCAUGAAAGAUACCAAAACCUUUUUCUCUAUGGGCGAUGAUGAUGAAGGGAAUUCCAUUGCUGCAGGGAAACUUCCAAGAUGAGCUCCUAAGAAAGGCUUCUGCACGGUACCUCUGUGACCUGCGAGCAGCCGAGGACAUUCAGCUUAGCCCGAGCCCUGGAGGCUGGGCAGCCUGGGCUGACAGACAGCAGGACCAUAUCGGCGGGAAGACCCCAGUCACUCUCUGCUUCUCUUUUCCCCAGAUUCCAAAGUGUGUAGGCUCUUCAUUUAUAACAUCUCAGGCAAGCUCACUUCCUUCCAGAACCCUAACCAAUACAUCUUCUGAGCAAGACUUCAGGACGUUUGUUUCAUGUUUUUGUUUUUAUUUGUUUGUUUCAGCUGCACCAAUAGCAGGUGGAAAUUCCCCAGCCAGGGAUCAAACCCAAGCCACAGUUUUGACCUGCACCACAGCUGCAGCCAUGCCAGAUCCUUAACCUGCUGAGCCACCAGAGAACUUAUUUUUUGUUUGUUUGUUUAUAUUUUAAUUGCAGGGGAGAGUAGAAAGACCAUCCUCUAUCAUGCAAGGAUCUUCAGGAUUUUAAACCCUUCUGUGUUAGCAGGAACGUGCAAAUGGGCAGAGUAAUUUGCUGACAAGUUUUAUGUAUUUUUAGGCAGCAAUUUCCCUGGGGUUCUGUUUGUUUCUUUACGACAAAGAUCACAAAUCUCAUAGGCACUCAGCCUUUUUUUAUUUUUUUUAACUUUGUUUCAUGUUUUAAAGACAUUAAAUUAGUGCCAACACUCACACAUUAGGAUAUUUUGCAUAAAACUCAGUCAGUUCAGCCACCCAGAGACUACACUUCUGCAAGGCAAUGACUGGCCAAGAUGGAAUACUGAAUACUGCCUGUCUUUUAACCCAGAUGGUGCGUGUCAAUUUGCCACAGUCCCCACCUCUCCCUACUGUAUGCCACCUGCUCUAUUUGACUUAUCCAAGUGGGUCUCUCUAGAUCUGAGGUUGCAGUCUCUAAUAUGGGGCCUGCUUUAUUCACAUCUUCUUCAACAAAUAUUUAUUGACAUGUGUACGUUGGGGCCAAACUCCAUGUUAUAUGCUGAGAAUGCAGCAGUGAAUGAGAUGGGCAUGGUCCCUGCCUUCAAAGGGUCUCUGCUGAAGUAGAUAACCUAGGUCUUAGCAUUCUGUGACAGGGGAGGGGACAAAAUUUAACAUCUGCAAUACCAUUUCAAUUAGGACUUAGCAUAUAGAUUUUGCUGUAAACAUAACAAAGUUUCAUUUCUUGGGAGCAGGGUAAAAAGCUGAAGUUGAGCUGGAAAUUUUCCCAUCCAAUUUCGGUUAUCUGUGAGGUUCUUAUAGGUCUCAAGAAUGUUCAAUGGCCUCACUGAAUUCCCAGAAUCCUCUGUUCCUCCCACAACACCCUAUCUGAUCGCUUGGGCUUACAACUCUCCUAAAAAAGGGCAUACGUUUUGAACUUGUUGGCAGUCAUAAAAAUUCUCCUCCAAUUAAAACUCCUUCACCAAUCUGCAGGAACUACAAACUCAGAGGCUUUGUUUAUUGUCUCAUCAGAGGGUUGGCAACAAAGCUUGGUAACAUUGUAAGCUAGCUCUUUGAUGCGUUGGAGGAUACAACCUGCUUUAAGGUUAAUCGAUGGUUACUUUUAAUUAGGAGAGUGGAUUACUGCUCUCUAAAGCUGCCUGAUGCUGAGAAGAUCUCAGCAUCACUCUGGUUUCUCAGCCUCAGGAGCUUCCUGGGUAGAAUCUGAGACUGGCCCCAGUACCUGGAGGGCAGGGAGAGAAGGGAGGAAGGCAUGGCCUCUCCACGUGGCUAGUCACAGGUUUAAUAAGCAGGGAGCUACCCUCCAGGGCUUGUCUUGGGCACCCCAGAAUGGGAAGAUUGCUGCUCACCAGCCUCAUCUUAGAGUUUACAGAGAAGCCUCCCCGGGAUCAGGCACCCACAUGGUCCUGAGGUCUCAACCACACCUGUUCUGUCGAGGUGCAUCCUUGAAAGGGCUCCCAUGGUGGGCACGGUGGAGUGGGAGGAGGGGGCAGGCAGACAUCCCAAGGACAGAGGGGUGGUGAGGAGUCUCUGAUGCCCGAAGCCAGCUCACAGGUCAAGUGGAGCUCACGUCCCCUCUGGGACCUGCUUCAACUGUAACUGUUGCAUCCAUUACAGAUAAACAAAGUUUUUCUGAAAAGCAUUUCCUUACUAGCCAUCUCACGUUUCAACAGCACUUGUAUUGUCUCUAUGAACUUCCCUGUCUCCUUUCCAAUUGGAUCUUUCAAACAACGGCUAUAAAGUAACAAUCGCAAGUGACCUCAUCAUCAAGUGAAAUUUCCCCGGGGGAUGGAGACAGAACAGGGAAGGUGAGGCCGCCUCUCCAGGUGCAUGUGAAUGUCCAUCUUGGUCAGAAGGUGAAGGGUUCUCUUCACACUUCACACCCCCUAAAGCAUGUAUCCACCCCACCCCCCCCACACACACACCUGCAUUCACAGCGUAGGUCUGAGGCUAAGGCCGUUGGGCAAGGCGACAUCCAUUGGGGGGAUUCGGCUAUGGGCAGGGGGUCCCCAAUCAGGCACAGCUUAGCAUGAAGUCACUAUGGCUGAGUUAGGGCCUCUACCCCUAUGGGGGCCCCUGCCCAGUACCUUCAUCCCUUUCCUUUUGCUCCUAUCCCUUCCUGCCCCCAGCCCUACUCUCAUCCAGUUGACGGGGACAAAGAACACUCCACCAGCAGACAUCUGGAAUUUUCUGUCUCAGCCCAGCUCAGUGUGGGCUCAGCCUCACUUCUCCUGGGCAGACGCCAGUGUGCCUCUUCUGGCUGUGCCAUGUGGCCACAGCCUGGUGCACCUUUCAGAAUGGCCAUGAGGUGUGGCGCCUGCCCUCUGCCCCAGGUGCCCCUGGCUUGGGCUGAUGGAUAUUGCAGGGGUGAGAACCACUUAGCAUCCACACAUGCACACCAAUCGUGCAAGGGGUUCAUGCUCAUAGGGUGAAAUUACGACUGAUGGAAGUGGGAGCUCAAGUCUACUUCCUUCCUCCCUCUUUGUGGACCACUCUCAGACCCCCUCCUUCCCACCCCCUCUCAGAAGCCAGACCCACAGGUGGAGCAGGCAGUCCUGCUGGAUGCCAGGCAGUGGCCAGCUUGGCAAAGACCCUCCCACCCACUUUGCACAGCCUGCUGACAUCACGGCGAUCUCACCCCCACCCCCAGAUGUAUUCAUUGCUGGGCUUGUGACCCAGAGUCUACUUAUAUGUCUGCUGGAGAAGAAGACAUCCCUUCCCAGAUUAAAGGCCAACUCUCCGAGGAAGGUAUAUAAAAAGUUUCUAUUGCAACAAUAAGCCUGAGCCGUCUCAGUCAGCAUCACAGACAC